rnacentral:rRNA from 1 species
AGUGAACGCUGGCGGUAGGCCUAACACAUGCAAGUCGAACGGCAGCACAGUAAGAGCUUGCUCUUACGGGUGGCGAGUGGCGGACGGGUGAGGAAUACAUCGGAAUCUACUUUUUCGUGGGGGAUAACGUAGGGAAACUUACGCUAAUACCGCAUACGACCUACGGGUGAAAGCAGGGGAUCUUCGGACCUUGCGCGAUUGAAUGAGCCGAUGUCGGAUUAGCUAGUUGGCGGGGUAAAGGCCCACCAAGGCGACGAUCCGUAGCUGGUCUGAGAGGAUGAUCAGCCACACUGGAACUGAGACACGGUCCAGACUCCUACGGGAGGCAGCAGUGGGGAAUAUUGGACAAUGGGCGCAAGCCUGAUCCAGCCAUACCGCGUGGGUGAAGAAGGCCUUCGGGUUGUAAAGCCCUUUUGUUGGGGAUGAAAAGCAGCAGGUUAAUACCCCGCCGUUCUGACGGUACCCAAAGAAUAAGCACCGGCUAACUUCGUG